rnacentral:lncRNA from 1 species
AGGAGAAACAAGACAGAAGGUGGUACCAGAGAAGGAGUCAGCUCCCCAGGGCCUGGAAUCUGCAGUGUUGCCACCACUAGGGAAGAACAGCAAACCUGGGAGAAAGUGACUCUAUAACCAGUGGAAGAAAGGCUGUGUAGCCAUCACCGGAUCUCUGGGGGAAGAGAGAAGACACAGAGACACAGACCUGCCCCGGAGGAAUCCAGAGCCCACCUGCCCAGAGAGGCUCCACCUGAUUUCCCUGGCUCUGGGCACCCCCUUAAAAGCCCUUUAUGCCAUCUUUCCUUUCAGUCGAGUGAUGCAGGAUUUGGGACCAGACAGCCUUUGCUCAAAUCCUUCCACAGUUAUCUACCAGCUUGGUGGCCUUGGAGAAGUUAUUUCCCUGUUCUGGAUGUGCUUCCUCUUCUAUAAACUAGAGACACUACAAAUUCCCACCACAGAGGGGUAAAUGCAGCAUCCUGUACGUUAUGUGUUUGGCACAGGACCUGGGAUGCAGGAGGCACUCUGACCGGUGGCAUCCAGAAAGUAAGGAAUAUGGACUAAAGGGAGGGCCAAGGAAAAGUUUACAGGCUGUGGCUGUGCAGUUGGAAGAUGCAGAAGCGCCUCGCUUGGUGCUGCCAGGUUAGGUUUGCAGAAUGCAGUGAAUGCUCUUGCUGACAAAGGAUGGGGAUAAGUGAACUGGGGAAUCAUGACCUAGGGGAAGCCACUAGCUCAAAUACUGAUCCCUAUUUAAGUCACCAAAAUAUGCUGGGCACCCAGUGGGUGCCCAGCGCUUUCCCAUAAGUGAUCCCAAACCAGGAGCUAGUCCAAGCCUCCAAAAGUGGCUGGGUAGUUCAUUGGAAUGAGGGCUGCAGUGACUCCAGAGGGAGCAGGACUCCAGAGGAGCAGGACUCAAGAGAAGGGGAGCCAGGGAAGACUGAGGGGAUGUGUAGGUGAGGUGGCUCUUUUCUGGCUGAGAGAAGAGAAGGUCCCCAGCCCACACCAAGGGCUCCAUAAUGGAAGGGAGGCCUAGGGUGGGUCCUCCCCCUCCCCAUCUUCAUCCCACUCAGCCCCUACCUGGCCUUUAACACACUGGGUGGGAGAAGUGUUGCUGAGCACAGCAGUGACCUGAGGCCCUGGGCACCCAUCCCAGUUUAGCUCCACAGGGGACUCCAGUUGCUGAGGAAGAAUAUAGAACUUAUAUAGGAUGGGGGAGCUGGAAGGAAACUUAGGAUCAAUUGUUCCAGCCUCUAAUUGAAUGGUGGGGAAACCCAGAGACAGAGAAAGGAAAUUACUACCCCUUCCAAGCCAGUGAGAGAGCCAGAUCUAGAAUCCAGGGCUCUUUCCAUGAUAUUGCACCUCCCAUCUCAGUCCUGUCUUUAUGAAAUGCCAUAUUGAAGCUUUAUGUAUUGGGGAAAUUUAACUGAGGCUCAAACGGACACAAAUUCCCUAAAGCCACAUGGUGAGUCAGACAGCGAAAUGCAAGGUGUCUGGUCCUUUCCCAGCAUCCAACGAACGUUUCUUGGGCACCUACUACAGUCAGGCUGGGAGCACUUUCAGACGUUCUCUCACUUAAAUCUCACAUGUAGGAGCAAGUUGCUGGAAGAGCGAAGGGCCAGAGGCCAGGGUCCAAAUCCUGGCUCUCUUAGCUGAGUCUCCUUGGACAAAUCCCUUGAUGUCCCUCAAAUGAUGCCUCCAUUUCUUCACUUUAUAAGAAGUGGAUUCAUAAUAGUACCUACCUUGUAGAGUAUUAUGAUAAUUAAAGGAGACUAUCCAUAUGAAAUACUUAGAACAGAGCCUAGUAAUAUAAAUAUACCAUUUAAAAAUAAGUAUACUGGCUGAGUGUGGUGGGUCACACCUGUAAUUCCAGCACUUUGGGAGGCCCAG